rnacentral:rRNA from 1 species
UACAGAGGGUGCGAGCGUUAAUCGGAAUUACUGGGCGUAAAGGGUGCGCAGGCGGUUUGUUGUGUUCGAUGUGAAAUCCCCCGGCUCACCCGGGGAACUGCAUCGAAAACUGACAGACUUGAGUGCAGGAGAGGAGAGCGGAAUUUCCGGUGUAGCGGUGAAAUGCGUAGAUAUCGGAAGGAACGCCAGUGGCGAAAGCGGCUCUCUGGCCUGCAACUGACGCUGAGGCACGAAAGCCAGGGUAGCGAACGGGAUUAGAUACCCGAGUA